rnacentral:lncRNA from 1 species
AAGUUGGCUACAUUUCCAUUUUGGGCGUCCCACUAAAGUUGGCCACUUUCCUAAAAUGGAAAUAUUUAUCACAUUCUAUCUCCUACUUUAUCACAUUCUCUCUCAUACUUUAUCACAUCCUCUCUCCUACUUUAUCACUUUAUUACCUUCUCUCUCACUUUAUCACCUUCUAUUUCUUACUUUAUUACUUUUAUACUUUAUUAACUACACACUU